UACGUAGGGUGCGAGCGUUAAUCGGAAUUACUGGGCGUAAAGCGUGCGCAGGCGGUUUUGUAAGCCAGGUGUGAAAUCCCCGGGCUCAACCUGGGAAUGGCAUUUGGGACUGCAAGGCUGGAGUGCGGCAGAGGAGACUGGAAUUCCUGGUGUAGCAGUGAAAUGCGUAGAUAUCAGGAGGAACACCGAUGGCGAGGGCAGGUCUCUGGGCUGACACUGACGCUCAUGCACGAAAGCGUGGGGAGCGAAACAAG
rnacentral:rRNA from 1 species